UUGUAUAACCAUGGAAAAGAGAGUUUGCCUGGAGGACUAUUUCACCAACACGUUAUACCAUUUGGAGCGUAAUUUGGAAAGAACAUGACUUUUAUGCAAAGCGACCAAGAUAACUGAAACUUUGGGGAAUGAUUGCACACAGACUGAUGUUUAAGUAGAAUUUGUUACAUUUUUUAUGGGUUCUGUUUUUUUAAGGGGGGGGGGGAGUUAACCCUGUAAAAUUAAACUAUCAAGCACCUGAAACUUGAAAUUCUAUCUGUUGCAUCUUCUUGAAUAGAUAUUUCUGUGUAGGCUCUCAGUUGUCCAGGUGGUUUCCAUAGUAGAGAAGCUUGAAUCUUCGACUGGACUGGGUUGCUUGACGCGAGGACGUUUCGCUUCAAAUCGCAGAAGCUUCCUCAGCUAAAAUUCUUGCUCUGGAAGUCUGACUUCUGUCUGACUCUUGUAGAGAAGAAGUUUUCUCUACUUGAAUAGAUAUGUACAAACUAACUACUGCUGGUCUGAGGCAGGCAGUGAUUCAUAUCUGAUUCACCUUGUUUUUGAUCACUUUGCAUUUGAUAUGUUGAAAAGUUAAAAUAUUUUUAUUUUUUA